rnacentral:piRNA from 1 species
UCCACAGGUCAAUGGAAAGCCUUUGAUGC